UGGGGAAUAUUGGACAAUGGGCGCAAGCCUGAUCCAGCCAUGCCGCGUGAGUGAUGAAGGCCUUAGGGUUGUAAAGCUCUUUCGCCGGUGAAGAUAAUGACGGUAACCGGAGAAGAAGCCCCGGCUAACUUCGUGCCAGCAGCCGCGGUAAUACGAAGGGGGCUAGCGUUGCUCGGAAUCACUGGGCGUAAAGCGCACGUAGGCGGAUCGUUAAGUCAGGGGUGAAAUCCUGGAGCUCAACUCCAGAACUGCCCUUGAUACUGGCGAUCUCGAGUUCGGAGAGNGGUUGGUGGAACUCCGAGUGUAGAGGUGAAAUUCGUAGAUAUUCGGAAGAACACCAGUGGCGAAGGCGGCCAACUGGCUCGAUACUGACGCUGAGGUGCGAAAGCGUGGGGAGCAAAACAGGAUUAGAUACCCUGGUAGUCCACGCCGUAAACGAUGGAUGCUAGCCGUUGGGGGGUUUACCUCUCAGUGGCGCAGCUAACGCCUUAAGCAUCCCGCCUGGGGAGUACGGUCGCAAGAUUAAAACUU
rnacentral:rRNA from 1 species